rnacentral:rRNA from 1 species
GACGGAGGGUGCAAACGUUGUUCGGAAUCACUGGGCAUAAAGGGCACGUAGGCUGCGCGCUAAGUCAGGUGUGAAAUCCCCCGGCUCAACCGGGGAACUGCACCUGAUACUGGCGUGCUCGAGGACGGUAGGGGUGAGUGGAACUCCAGGUGGAGCGGUGAAAUGCGUAGAUAUCUGGAGGAACACCGGUGGCGAAAGCGGCUCACUGGACCGUCUCUGACGCUGAGGUGCGAAAGCUAGGGUAGCAAACGGG